rnacentral:rRNA from 1 species
GACGAACGCUGGCGGCGUGCCUAAUACAUGCAAGUCGAACGAAGUGGCGAACGGGUUAGUAAUACGUGGGUAACCUGCCCUCCUUUUUGGGAUAAGCCUUGGAAACGGGGUCUAAUACCGAAUAUAGGUGGAUGGGGUCGCGGCCUAUCAGGUUGUUGGUGGGGUGAGGGCCUACCAAGGCGGUGACGGGGAGCCGGCCUGAUAGGGUGAACGGCCACAUAGGGACUGAGAUACGGCCCAGACUCCUACGGGGGGGGGCAGUGGGGGAUAUUGCACAAUGGGCGAAAGCCUGAUGCAGCGACGCCGCGUGGGGGAUGAAGGCUUUCGAGUUGUAAACCUCGUGCGAUAUCGAGCGGGUAGGUGGAGAAGAAGCGCCGGCUAACUACGUGCCAGCAGCCGCGGUAAUAC